UGGAAGCUAGAUUGACUGAGUGGCGGACGGGUGAGUAACGCGUGGGUAACCUGCCUCAUACAGGGGGAUAACAGUUAGAAAUGACUGCUAAUACCGCAUAAGACCACAGCACCGCAUGGUGCAGGGGUAAAAACUCCGGUGGUAUGAGAUGGACCCGCAUCUGAUUAGCUAGUUGGUGAGAUAACAGCCCACCAAGGCGACGAUCAGUAGCCGACCUGAGAGGGUGAUCGGCCACAUUGGGACUGAGACACGGUCCAAACUCC
rnacentral:rRNA from 1 species